UACAGAGGUCUCAAGCGUUGUUCGGAUUCAUUGGGCGUAAAGGGUGCGUAGGCGGCAGCGUUAGUCAGGUGUGAAAGCCUGGGGCUUAACCCCAGAAGCGCACUUGAUACUGCGCUGCUUUUAGAGGACUGGAGAGGAGAGUGGAAUUCACGGUGUAGCAGUGAAAUGCGUAGAUAUCGUGAGGAAGGCCAGUGGCGAAGGCGGCUCUCUGGACAGGACCUGACGCUGAGGCACGAAGGCUAGGGGAGCAAACGGG
rnacentral:rRNA from 2 species